GAUGAACGCUGGCGGCGUGCCUAAUACAUGCAAGUCGAGCGAACGGACGAGAAGCUUGCUUCUCUGAUGUUAGCGGCGGACGGGUGAGUAACACGUGGAUAACCUACCUAUAAGACUGGGAUAACUUCGGGAAACCGGAGCUAAUACCGGAUAAUAUUUUGAACCGCAUGGUUCAAAAGUGAAAGACGGUCUUGCUGUCACUUAUAGAUGGAUCCGCGCUGCAUUAGCUAGUUGGUAAGGUAACGGCUUACCAAGGCAACGAUGCAUAGCCGACCUGAGAGGGGUAACGGCCAAACCUGAACUGAGACACCGGCCAAGCUCCUACGGGAGGGAGGAGUAGGGGAACCUCCGGCAAGGGGGGAAGCCUUACGGAGGAACCGCGCGGGGGUGAAGGAGGGCCUCCGAUCGGAAAACCCUUUUAUUAGGGAAAAACCAAUGGUGAAGUAACUGUGCACAUCCUGACGGUACCUAAUCAGAAAGCCACGGCUAACUACGUG
rnacentral:rRNA from 1 species